GACGAACGCUGGCGGCGUGCUUAACACAUGCAAGUCGAACGGUAAGGCCCUUCGGGGUACACGAGUGGCGAACGGGUGAGUAACACGUGGGUGAUCUGCCCUGCACUUCGGGAUAAGCCUGGGAAACUGGGUCUAAUACCGGAUAGGACCACUGCCUGCAUGGGUGGUGGUGGAAAGCUUUUGCGGUGUGGGAUGGGCCCGCGGCCUAUCAGCUUGUUGGUGGGGUGAUGGCCUACCAAGGCGACGACGGGUAGCCGGCCUGAGAGGGUGACCGGGCACACUGGGACUGAGAUGCGGCCCAGACUCCUACGGGAGGAAGCAGUGGGGAAUAUUGCACAAUGGGCGCAAGCCUGAUGCAGCGACGCCGCGUGAGGGAUGACGGCCUUCGGGUUGUAAACCUCUUUCAGCACCGACGAAGCGCAAGUGACGGUAGGUGCAGAAGAAGGACCGGCCAACUACGUGCCAGCCGCCGCCGUAA
rnacentral:rRNA from 1 species